CAAUAGCGUAUAUUAAAGUUGUUGCAGUUAAAAAGCUCGUAGUCGGAUUUUGGCAUCACGCCGAACUGUCUGCCGAUUGGUAAGUACGGUUUGGCGGGUGCUUCUUUCUUGAAGCUCGUUCCCUUCUUAACUGAAGGGUUCGUUGGUUCAGGUUCUUUUACUUUGAGAAAAUUAGAGUGUUCAAAGCAGGCCUAUGCUCUGAAUAGGUUAGCAUGGAAUAAUAGAAUAGGACUUUGGUUCUAUUUUGUUGGUUUCUAGGACCGAAGUAAUGAUUAAUAGGGAUAGUUGGGGGCAUUAGUAUUUAAUUGUCAGAGGUGAAAUUCUUGGAUUUAUGAAAGACUAACAUCUGCGAAAGCAUUUGCCAAGGAUGUUUUCAUUGA
rnacentral:rRNA from 1 species